CAGAUCUAGAGGAGGAGGCGGGACCGAUUGAUGAGUCCAUUCUGACAGAGCAGCAUCUACAUAGGUCUUCAUUUAUCGCGACUGAGGGAUAUCGUGGCGUUCAGUUCGUAGAGCAUGGCCGCAAAUUGAACCAGUGGGAUAUGGAUCAUCCAGCGGUGCUAGAUCUGCUACGACAUUCUGGAUUCUACGGCAUUUCUUGAUUUAGGCAUCUGCAGCUGGAUCAGGCUUUAUUAGGAGCUCUGGUCGAGAGAUGGCGACGGGAGACCCAGACUUUUCACUUCCGCCACGGUGAGAUGACGAUUACACUUCAAGAUGUGGCGGUUAUUUCAGGUCUUUGUGUUGAUGGAGCGCCUGUCACGGGGACUACACAGCAUCCGUGGAUAGAGAUUUGUCAGGAGCUUUUAGGGGUUGUGUCGGAUGGCAUCCGAGCUGGUCAGAUUCGAUUAGAUUGGAUAUACCAGCACUUCCACCAUAUACAUUUGGAUGCCACGGCUGGAUUAGUUGCAGCCACAGUCCGUGCAUAUAUGUUAUAUUAGAUUGGUUGUAGUCUGUUUCCAAACCCCUCCGGAUAUAGAGUUCAUCUUAAGUAGCUGCCACUUUUGGCGGAUUUUAAUGCAUGUGGUGGUUUAGCUUGGGGUGCAGCAGCAUUGGCCUACCUUUAUCGCGCAUUGGGAACGGCUUCAUUAAAGGAUAAGGUCGAAUGCUGUUGUUUCGCGACAUUAGUACAGAUUUGGGCGUGGGACCAUCUUCAUGUCGGCCGACCUACUAGCGUUGGAGCUAUUGCCGACAUGGCUGAUUGCCCUUUGGGUUGCCGGUGGAUGAACGCCGGCGGUUUACGUUUUGGGGCAAAUGUUAGGACGACCGAUAUUGAGUUCUAUAGAGAUGAGCUAGAUCAGCAGCGAGAGUCCAAGAUUACAUGGCGCCCGUACACAGAUGCUGUUAUAGAUGUGCUACCGGCAUUCUGUGUACAUGACAGUGCGGUAUGGCGAUCGCGGACGACGCUGAUUUGUUUUCAUAUCGGGGUGGCCAGAUGAGGAUUGGGCCCACUUUCAUUCUGCACACAUCGAGAGAUGGGGACAGCGAUUACAGGCUACUAUUGACCAACAUCCGAUUGUCGGUGAUGACCCGGUUCAGGCGACAUCGAUUUAUAUGGAGUGGUAUUGGCAGAUCACGAGAAGAUGGAUUUCUCGUCCAGUACAGCGUCCACCAUUGACUUACCAGCCUCGCGGCCAGAUCGAGAGAGCUUUGGUGGACGCAUUACGACAGGCUCAAAUGGGCAUCAGAGGGCUAGUUCAUGAUCGACCUUCUUACGAUGCGAUGGUAGAGACAUUGACGAGCAUGGAUGUCCAUAUUGAGUCAGUACUGGAGUACAUUCCUUCCAUACCUGUCGCCGCUGAUGUUGGAGGUCGAGAUUUUGGUCAACCCUCGACAUCGGGUCAUCACAGGAGACACUCACCGACAUCUACUGUAUCAUACUCGAGAUCGAGCCUACGAGUGUCACGAUCUCCAUCUCCUAGUGAUGUUGCAGAUAUACUCGCCGCCCCUUCAAGAUUUCCUUCCUUGCCAUUGGACUUGGACUCGCUUCCGCCGCCAGUUUCUCGAGAGCACUUUAGAUUAGUCUACUCUCGACGUCAUGCCGCGUCAUCAUCACAGGUCCGCCCAGCAUCUACACCGGCCACUAUCGAGGGUGAUCGACCUGAGUCAGAGGAGACUCAGGCGGUUCCGGAGCAUCCCGAGGGCAUUAUCAUUGCGGAUCUCGAUCAGAUGGCCGGUAUCGAGGCUCUUGAUGACGUACCUAUUGCUGAGCUUGAUGUACAGGGUGGCCGUAGACGUGGACGUGGCCGAGGACGUCGAGGGAGAGGAAGAUCGAGAGACUGAUUGUAUUUUUUUUAUUUA